AAAAAAACAAAAUUCAAAUCGGCGUUUUUUUUUGCGUUUUGUCAUCAACAAAGAAAAUGCCAAGUGGGAAGAGAGAAAGAGAGAGUGACCUUGAGGAGAAGUGGGCAGUGGCAAAGCUAAUCGAUCUCGGGAACUGUGAUCUUUUUCUGCGGUUUGGAAAAUCAGAGAGUAAGAUUCCGAGGGGAAUGCAACCGAGUCUCAAGGAUCGAAUGAAUCCUACAAGAAAUCAAAUGUCUGCAGUACGAAACUGUGAGAGAGAAGAGGACGACGACGGGGAAAAGACGAGGCUUCCCGUCCGAUUUAUUUGAAAGUUCAAAAAUGUUACAAGUUAGAAUGAGGACAAAAUAAAACAGGUUAAUAAUAAUAUUUUUUUUGUAAGAAAUAAAAAGAAGAAUUUUUUUUUUUUUUAUCAUCAGUUUUGUAAAAGAAAUAAAAGGGAAGGUGUGAAUGGUGCGUGUUUUGUAUCAUUCUACUAACUGAGUUCUGUGCA